GUGCCCUACAAGAGAGGGCAGGAAAAUAAAACAUACACACUAUCAAUGUUUUGUAAGCAAGUACACAGCUGAUGUGAAAAUGUUGAUGUUUAUUUGAAAUAUACAAUAUGUAUUAAGAAUUUAAUACUUCAUUUUAUUGGUAUUUUAUGUUUCUGUAAACUACAUAUUGUAUAUUACAAUAAGAACAUCCUGACAAAACAGCAAGACCAAGCAGAUGUCAAGUAUGUUCUACAAAAAAGGCCAAAAAAGCAAAGCACAUGUGCUGUCAGUGUAAGCAAUAUAUGUGUACACAACACACUACUCUCAUCUGUGAAGACUGCCUUAGUCAUGGACGCCCUGCUCAGAGAGGCACCCGGGCAGCCUCAGCAAGCUUUCGGUUCCAAGGCUUGCAUGAGCUCUGGCUUUCCGCUCGGCCCAGGACUUCUGCAGCUGUGCCCCGCCAGGUGCGGGGCAGGAACCAAACACCCUGAGACAAGGCAAGAUACAACUGGAAACAAUGGGAACUGGCUAUGGCUAAACACCUGAAGAUGGGGAGGAGGCAGUUGUUGUUCUUAUAUUUGGAUCACUGAACUCUAUAAAAGGACAAAUCACAUUUAACAACUGUCCUACACGUUUAUAAAUAUAAGGUAACUUGCAG
rnacentral:lncRNA from 1 species